UGUUGCGACAGCGCGUGCGCAGACUACAUGCGGACAAGUAUUUAUUUUAGCUUCUUGUGCUACAUACAGCCAUAUGCUGCCCUUGUGGGCCAUAAAACUGAAAGAAGAGCUUUUUAUAUCAGUUCAUUCACAUUAAAACGCGUAGUUUAGCUCUUGUCUAUAAUGGCGAAGGACGGUGCAGCGAAACUGUCCAAAAAUCUCCUGCGGAUGAAGUUCAUGCAGAGAGGUUUGGACGCAGAGCUGAAGAAGCAGCUGGAUGAGGAGGAGAAGAGGAUCAUCAGUGAUGAACACUGGUUCCUGGACCUUCCUGAGCUCAAGGCCAAAGAGUGAGACCUGACUGACAUCUCACUGAUAUCCUGUCCUCAGAAAACUAUAUUUAGAUUCCUAAUGUCUUAAUAGCAUUGUGUGACGUAACAAAUAUCUAUGGAAGCCCAUUUCCGCCACAAAAGG